CCAGAACCAACUGCACAUCAA
rnacentral:miRNA from 1 species